UGACAUAUUUAUGCGUUUUUUGAGUAUUUGGUGUAUAAGUUGUAUGGCAUAAUUUAGAACUACAUGGCAUGAAUUAUGCAUAGGCAAAAU